GACGUAGGAGGCGAGCGUUGUCCGGAUUCAUUGGGCGUAAAGAGCGCGCAGGCGGCUUGGUAAGUCGGAUGUGAAAUCCCGAGGCUCAACCUCGGGUCUGCAUCCGAUACUGCCCGGCUAGAGGUAGGUAGGGGAGAUCGGAAUUCCUGGUGUAGCGGUGAAAUGCGCAGAUAUCAGGAGGAAUACCGGUGGCGAAGGCGGCAUCCUGGACCGGCAUUGACGCUGAUGAGCGAAAGCUAGGGGAGCAAACAGG
rnacentral:rRNA from 1 species